rnacentral:rRNA from 1 species
AGUCGAGGAUCUUCGGCAAUGGGCGCAAGCCUGACCGAGCGACGCCGCGUGAGCGAUGAAGGCCUUCGGGUCGUAAAGCUCUGUCGGGGGGGAGAAAGGGGCAACCUUGAUCGACCCCCGGAGGAAGCACGGGCUAAGUUCGUGCCAGCAGCCGCGGUAAGACGAACCGUGCGAACGUUAUUCGGAAUCACUGGGCUUAAAGGGCGCGUAGGCGGGCUAUCAAGUCAGGGGUGAAAUCCCACGGCCCAACCGUGGAAGUGCCUUUGAUACUGAUGGCCUCGAGGGGGAUAGGGGCGUGCGGAACUCAGGGUGGAGCGGUGAAAUGCGUAGAUAUCCUGAGGAACACCGGUGGCGAAAGCGGCGCGCUGGAUCCCUUCUGACGCUGAGGCGCGAAAGCCAGGGGAGCAAA